CUAUCUUGUUUCGAAAAGGACAUACUAUCUCUGUUUGCUCGGGGCUUCACGAUAAACCAUCACGCAAUGGAUGCCAGGCAUGCCGUUCUCUGUUUCCUCCUCGUGCUCGCGUUACAUGGGAGUCCUGCUGCUGUGGCCGAGGAUUGCGAUUACGGAGGUUCGAAAAUGCCAUUCUGUUUCGGCGCAAUAUGCAAGGUGAACUGCUGGGUGCGGGCGGUAGUGGUCGGCGCUCGUGUCAAAGAAAACAGCUGCUGGGGCAAAAAGGAUGACAGCUGGUGUAUCUGUCUGUUCUGCAAAAAAUGAGUAGCUGACUUUGUAGUGUCAGGGCCGUCUAUCCAUUUAUUUAGAACCAAGGAAUCAAAUAGGCUCUUUGGACGACAUCUCCUAGUAUACUUAUUAAUAUUAUUUUGCCUUCACUGAUGAAACACUCUGCACUUCUACUCUCCCUGUGUCACAGCAGUCCAAUUAAUCUCCCGUUCAGUCGAAUUCCAUACGGAAGUGUUA